GGGUAUGUAGCUUAAUUGGCAGAGCAUCUGACUCUUAAUCAGAGUGGUGUAGGUUCGAUGCCUACCAUGCCCA
rnacentral:tRNA from 1 species